CACAAAACAAAUCACUCUCGGACACGAUUAUUCCCCUCCAAAAAUUUCUCCUUUUAUAUUUUUUCACCUCUGUUUCCUUCUUCUUCUUGAUCUUCCACCUUUCUCUCUAAACCUCCAAACUUUUCUCUUUUGUUCUCUUCUUCACUUCAAAACCCCUCAACCCCAUUUCCACAUUCCACUCUUACUCCAAAAACUCUCCACACCAAAACAAAAAUUAAACCAAUUUUCUUUUUAUAUUUUCUUUGUUCUUCGGUAACAAGAGAAUCUAAUCAUGGCUCUGUCACGCAUAGCAUCAUCAACUCAUGCAUCCAACCUCCUUAAACCCCUCUCCGCCGCCUUAUCCAUCCGCCGCGUUAUCUCCUCCGACUCCACCGAUCCCCUCACCAUCGAAACCUCUCUUCCAUUCAUCUCCCAUAAAUGCGACGCGCCCCCACGCGCCGUCGACACCUCCGCCUCGGAGCUCUUCUCCUUCUUCCGGGACAUGGCCACCAUGCGCCGCAUGGAGAUCGCCGCCGACUCACUCUACAAGGCCAAGCUCAUCCGCGGCUUCUGCCACCUUUACGACGGUCAGGAGGCUGUGGCCAUCGGCAUGGAGGCCGCCAUCACCAAGAAGGACGCCAUCAUCACCGCCUACCGCGACCACUGCAUCUUUAUUGGCCGCGGAGGCACGCUCCUCGAGGUCUUCGGCGAGCUCAUGGGCCGCAUCUGCGGCGGCUCCAAGGGCAAGGGCGGCUCCAUGCACUUCUACCGCAAGCAGACCAAUUUUUUCGGUGGCCACGGCAUCGUCGGAGCUCAGAUUCCGCUUGGAUGUGGGUUGGCGUUUGCUCAGAGGUACUCCAAGGAAGAGAAUGUGACAUUUACCUUGUAUGGUGAUGGUGCUGCCAACCAGGGCCAAUUGUUUGAGGCACUUAAUAUGGCAGCGCUUUGGGACCUACCUGCGAUCUUGGUCUGCGAGAAUAACCAUUAUGGGAUGGGAACAGCAGAGUGGAGAGCUGCUAAAAACCCUGCUUAUUACAAGCGUGGAGAUUAUGUUCCUGGGUUGAAGGUUGAUGGCAUGGAUGUUCUUGCUGUGAAACAAGCUUGCAAGUUUGCAAAGGAGCAUGCUUUGAAAAAUGGGCCCCUUAUUCUUGAAAUGGACACCUAUAGAUACCACGGGCACUCUAUGUCUGAUCCUGGAAGCACAUACCGUACACGUGACGAGAUUUCCGGUGUGAGACAGGAGCGUGAUCCAAUUGAGAGAGUAAGGAAGCUAUUAUUGGCUCAUGACAUUGCUUCUGAGAAGGAGCUAAAGGUAUCAGACUUGACUUAAAGAAUUAUGGGUUACGUCAUAUUUUUCGUGGCUUCCAAUUCGUGUUUACCAUACUUUGGAGUUAGACAUUGAGAAACAAGUCAGAAAAGAUGUCGAUGAUGCCAUCGCUAAAGCAAAGGUAAAGAACAAAAAAUAUAUACCAAUGUAUAUGUUAAGGGUUUAGGAGUUGAGUCAUUUGGUGCUGAUAGGAAAGAAGUGAGAGCUACUUUGCCGUGAUCGAUAACAUCACUUUUCGAGUUGAGUAUGUUACUAUCUUAGUACUAGACUACCAAUCAAAAUAAAAGGAUGUUAUGUUAACAGGUUACUUCUCUGCCUAUUGGUUGAGUUCUCUCCAUAUGUAUUGAAUUUUACUCGAGUAGCAAUGGGGAAGAAAUUCAUACUUUUGUGCAUGUAAUUUUGGAUGAACCAACCAAUGGCUAUAUAACAUUAUGCAACUGAUGUUGCUGCAAAUUUGAGGAAUUAAUUGUGCACAACUCCUCCCAACACUUGUCUUUUUCACUAAUUGGUGGCAAGUUUUUGCCAUUAUAAUUAAUACUUAGUAGGUUGUGUUUAUAAUCUAAACCGUUGAUUUUGAUAAUGUGGUAAAUUUGGUGUGUUUACUUAUU